UCGCCCACGUCGUCCGUGCAGUGCACCGAGAGGCACUGCAAGUGGCUGCCAGUCUGCGCCGUGGCCGACGUCUUGCUCGGGGGAAGGUCGUGGGCUUCUUUGCUGGGGUUCGGGGGCUUGGGCUUCUCCCACGGCGCCAUGGGCUUGUCCUCCUCCUGCCCCUCCAUCAGGGCCUUCUCGCCGGGCAGGUACCAGGUGGAGUUGUGCUCCGCCAUCAGGGAGUCCAGGUCGAUGGUGCUCAUGGUGUUCUUGACGCCCUCCGGGCAACACCCGCCCAG
rnacentral:lncRNA from 1 species